rnacentral:rRNA from 1 species
AUUGAACGCUGGCGGCAGGCCUAACACAUGCAAUUCGGGCGAGCGGCGGACGGGUGAGUAAUGUAUGGGGAUCUGCCUGAUGGCGGGGGUUAACUACUGGAAACGGUAGCUAAUACCGCAUACCAUAAGAUGAACCCAUAUGGGAUUAGCUAGUAGGUAAGGUAACGGCUUACCUAGGCGACGAACCCUAGCUGGUCUGAGAGGAUGAUAGACAAGAAGGAGACGGAACAACGGCCCAGACACCUACGGGAGGAACCAGUGGCGAAUAUUGCACAAUGGGCGCAAGCCUGAUACAGCCAUGCCGCGUGUAUGAAGAAGGCAUUCGGGUUGUAAAGUACUUUCAGUCGGGAGGCGUUACCGACAGAAGAAGCACCGGCUAACUCCGUGCCAGCAGCCGCGGUAAUUC